rnacentral:lncRNA from 1 species
AAACAAUGUUAUAAUACUACAAAAGAAAUUGUUUAAAUAUCAUAUUUUAAGUAAAAAUAUUGCAGGCAUCCACAUCCUUAAUGGUAAAAUCUACAUUUAUCAAAGUAAUAAUCUUAGAUAUGAAAUAUUCAGUUAACGGAAAGAAGGUGACGAUUUAUCUUCAGUCACUCAAUGCAUUCUUAAAAAAAUGUAUUAAAACUAUAAAUUUUCGUAUAAUAUUUAUUUGAAGAAAUAAUUAUUAUAUUUGUCAUUUUGAUAAAGAACAUUAAUGCAUUGGGAAAUCUAGUUUAACCAAAUUACUCCCCUUCAACCAUUUCAAUUUAGAAUUCUACCAAAGAUAUUACAUUUUGUCGAAAAUAAAUUAUUACUGUCAUAGAUAAAGGCAACAGUAGUAUACCGCUGUUCAAAACUCAUAAAUCCAUGGACAAAAAAAACAAAAUCGGGGUAACAAACUAAAACUGA